rnacentral:rRNA from 1 species
AGCGAACGUUAGCGGCGGGCUUAACACAUGCAAGUCGAACGCGAAAGCUCCUUCGGGAGCCGGUAGAGUGGCGCACGGGUGAGUAACACGUAGGUAACCUGCCCUCUGGAGGGGGACAACUGCCCGAAAGGGCAGCUAAUACCGCAUAAGACCACGGUGCCUAAGGGCACAGUGGUAAAAGGUGGCCUCUGCUUGCAAGCUACCACCAGAGGAUGAGCCUGCGGACCAUCAGCUUGUUGGUGGGGUAACGGCCCACCAAGGCUAAGACGGUUAGCUGGUCUGAGAGGAUGAUCAGCCACACUGGCACUGAAACACGGGCCAG